CCUACGGGAGGCUGCAGUCGAGAAUCUUGGGCAAUGCACGCAAGUGUGACCCAGCGACGCCGCGUGGGGGAUGAAGGCGCUCAGCGUUGUAAACCCCUUUUGUGGGAGAAGAAGAUCUGACGGUAUCCCACGAAUAAGCCACGGCUAACUACGUGCCAGCAGCCGCGGUAAUACGUAGGUGGCAAGCGUUGUCCGGAUUCACUGGGCGUAAAGGGCAGGCAGGCGGAAGGUUAAGUAGGAAGUGAAAGGUUGGAGCUUAACUCCAACAUUGCUUC
rnacentral:rRNA from 1 species